CCUACGGGAGGCAGCAGUGAGGAAUAUUGGACAAUGGUCGAAAGACUGAUCCAGCCAUGCCGCGUGCAGGAUGAAUGCCCUAUGGGUUGUAAACUGCUUUUAUACGGGAAGAACACCACCCACGUGUGGGUGACUGACGGUACCGUAAGAAUAAGGACCGGCUAACUCCGUGCCAGCAGCCGCGGUAAUACGGAGGGUCCAAGCGUUAUCCGGAAUCAUUGGGUUUAAAGGGUCCGUAGGCGGGCUAUUAAGUCAGGGGUGAAAGUUUGCAGCUCAACUGUAAAAUUGCCUUUGAUACUGGCAGUCUUGAGUUAUAGUGAAGUGGUUAGAAUAUGUGGUGUAGCGGUGAAAUGCAUAGAUAUCACAUAGAAUACCAAUUGCGAAGGCAGAUCACUAACUAUAUACUGACGCUGAUGGACGAAUGCGUGGGGAGCGAACGGGAUUAGAUACCCCGGUAGUCCACGCCGUAAACGAUGGAUACUAGCUGUUGGAUUUUUUCAGUGGCUAAGCGAAAGUGAUAAGUAUCCCACCUGGGGAGUACGUUCGCAAGAAUGAAACUCAAAGGAAUUGACGGA
rnacentral:rRNA from 1 species